rnacentral:rRNA from 1 species
UACAGAGGUCUCAAGCGUUGUUCGGAUUCAUUGGGCGUAAAGGGUGUGUAGGUGGCGCCGUAAGUCGGGUGUGAAAUCUCGGGGCUUAACUCCGAAACUGCAUUCGAUACUGCGGUGCUUGAGGACUGGAGAGGAGACUGGAAUUCAUGGUGUAGCAGUGAAAUGCGCAGAUAUCAGGAAGAACACCCGUGGCUAAGGCGGCUCUCUAGUACGGUACUGACGCUGAGACGCGAAAGCGUGGGGAGCGAACAGG